rnacentral:tRNA from 1 species
GCCGAAGUGGCGGAACUGGCAGACGCACGGGACUUAAAAUCCCGCGGGGCUAAAACCCCGUACCGGUUCGAUUCCGGUCUUCGGCACCA